CAAUAGCGUAUAUUAAAGUUGUUGCGGUUAAAAAGCUCGUAGUUGGAUUUCUGCUGAGGAUGACCGGUCCGCCCUCUGGGCUGGUAUCUGGCUCAGCCUUGGCAUCUUCCUGAAGAACGUAGCUGCACUUCACUGUGUGGUACGGUAUUUAGGACAUUUACUUUGAGGAAAUUAGAGUGUUUCAAGCAAGCGCACGCCUUGAAUACAUUAGCAUGGAAUAAUAAGAUAUGACUUUGGUGGUCUAUUUUGUUGGUUUGCACACCAGAGUAAUGAUUAAUAGGGACAGUUGGGGGUAUUCAUAUUUCAACGUCAGAGGUGAAAUUCUUAGAUCGUUGAAAGAUGAGCUUAGGCGAAAGCAUUUACCAUGGAUGUUUUCAUUAA
rnacentral:rRNA from 1 species